ACGUGAUCCAGGCUUCGGCCUGGUGAUUGUGGCAGACGGGUGAGUAACGCGUGGGAACCUGCCCUGUGGUAGGGAAUAACCGCGGGAAACUGCGGCUAAGACCCUAUGAGUCCUUCGGGAGAAAGAUUAUCGCCAUAGGAGGGGCCCGCGUCGGAUUAGGUAGUUGGUGGGGUAACGGCCUACCAAGCCUUCGAUCCGUAGCUGGUCUGAGAGGAUGAUCAGCCACACUGGGACUGAGAUACAGCCCAGACUCCUACGGGAGGCAGCAGUGGGGAAUAUUGGACAAUGGGGGCAACCCUGAUCCAGCAAUGCCGCGUGGGUGAUGAAGGCCUUCGGGUUGUAAAGCCCUUUCGGCGGGGAAGAUGAUGACGGUACCCGCAGAAGAAGCCCCGGCUAACUUCGUGCCAGCAGCCGCGGUAAUACGAAGGGGGCUAGCGUUGCUCGGAAUUACUGGGCGUAAAGGGCGCGUAGGCUGUGCUGUAAGUCAGGCGUGACAGGCCCGGGCUCAACCUGGGAACUGCGUUUGAUACUGCGGCGCUGGAAUGCAGGAGAGGAUGGCGGAAUUCCCAGUGUAGAGGUG
rnacentral:rRNA from 1 species